CGCCUCUGCACCCGCCCCUGUUCGACCGCUCCGUCCCGAGUGCGCCGUCCGCAGAUACCGGAGACGGCAACCCGACGAUCCGAGCUGAAGCCGGGCUGGCAAGGCGAGCCCCCGCGUCGCGUUGUAAUCGAAGCGUCGCAGACUGCUGCUCCCGCUGUCGCCGUCUGCGGGGAGUGCUGUAGCUGGCGUCCGCCGCAGCGGGGGAAUUUCGAGACGCGCAGAUCAAACGGCGAACGGGGAAAAUCAUUCGAGUUUUAACAGUGGCGCGUUAGUGUCUACGGGAGCUUGCAGGGCAAGUAUGGAGCGGUUCAGACCAGCUUGGGAGUGAUGCAUACAUACACGGAUUUGCUUUGGGUUCAACUUCCUGACCUGCCCACCGUUUUCCGGACAGAGUGAACACGAGGACGCGAGCCUACCAUGCUUUGGGUUGCACGUAGUCCGAAGCCUUGAACUAUGACCCAGCUCAAAACAUCUAUGUCAUCGGAACGUUAACCCUGUAACAAUCAAUACGGUGAAAUCUGUGACGCCAUCGAGUCCGCGGUUUGGGUGCGGAACGCGAAACUCGGGCUUGAAUUUUCACGGCAAAAAUGACACAGGCUAAAAUGACACAUAUUUUAAGUUAACAGCUCAUACUUGUGUAAUGUUUGUUUAGUGCUCAUUUCAAAAAAAAAAAGAAAAAAAAAGGAUGCGCGCAUUGCGGGCGCAUAGCGGAAGUUGGCAAGCGGUCAACCGAACGAUCCCUAGCUAUCUCUUUCUAGUGGGUUGUCUUCAAGACCUGGGUGUGUGCUGCAUACUCGCGGCUUCCGAAGUGUCACGCAGAGUUGUGCCGAUAUAUGCGCGCUCGUGUCUUGGGAAAAAAAAAAAAUGCAUUCCCGCAUCACGGUGCAGCAGGACGCGAAACAGUGUAAAGUAAGACCAGAACAGGAAAUAGCGUCUUUCCUGCCUACCGUCUUCUCAUUGUGUCGCGUCCUAUUACGCCGUAAAAGAAGCAUAAACCAACCAGCACAGCAACGAAGAAUACGUUUCAGUCCCAUAUGCUGUUGGUCACACAGGUAAUGUCACAGCUUCGGCACGCCGAAUGGUCUCGCAUUACGGCCAGCGAUGUCAACAUUUAACACAACAUGGAGGUUGUAGCACACGAGUCAUGGCACGCCGUGGCUGUUGAGUGUUUGCAAAGUGAAUAGAAAUGUGUGAAUUGUGGCGCUGUAUCCCAGAUGAAUGUUGCUGCGAAGCAUAACAGUUCGAUCCAUCUCCCGUGUCACAAAAGCAGACAUACCUAGCAGGUCGUUCGCCCAGGUUACGCUGCUGUAAAACGGUCGGUAAAAGAAAAAGUCCGUCUGUUUGUAUGAACUUGUGGAUUUUAUUUUAAAGGUCGUCGCGCUUGCGUUUCCAGAAAGGGGAAAAAGAAAAGAACGUUGACUGUUAGCCGAGGAAAUGAAAGCCAUACCCGUCAAUUUUCGGACUUCAUGCUCGAAGUGCUGGCAUCGAUGACGUUAGUCUUACGUCGUGGAUUUCAAUUCGGCUUCCCGACACUCCAGGAGGACGUGGAGUACGGUCAGCCUCUCCCCGCAUCUACCACAGGUUGGAGGCUCACUUCCGGGGCGUCGAUGUGGCAGCGAUGUGGAAGAAGACGACGAACGGGCGAGCAGUGGCACGAGCGCUCCGAUUUCCUGUACCUCAUAACACGACCUAAUUGAAACAUAGAGUUCUAAGGCUUUCACCUUAAAACAACACACAAAAUUAAUCAAUAACCCGAACAGAAUGCUGCGGCAUUGCAAUAUGACUCAAAAACAUAAACAGUGUUGAUACACAGAUACGACGUCACUUUCAGUAAAGAUAAUUGUUACAUCUUUAGCUGCUCGCCGUAAUGAUGAUGCCUUAUCCCGUGACCCAAGCAACCUUUCUAUGCUGAAAGGGCAAUUAUCGAGUGUCAUUGACGUUGCCUUCGAAGAACAUCUUUGCUGUUCAGACUUAAAAACAGCUUAGUAGAAAGUUCUCCCACAAAUGGCCGCACUUCCAACAAGGCAUAGCUGAACGACGCAUGCGAUACAGAAAAGUGUUUUCACAUAGGUGGCGCCUCGUGCGCUGACCAAUCAUUCGCUUCGCUUACACGACCUUUAUGCGAGCGGGCCGAUUCGGAAUUCGAGCCGGAAUACCGUUAUUCUCAGCCCGGCAAACGGACUCGAUCCAACUUUAUCGGGUUGGUGUAAACGUAGCUAUACUACAGCCAAUGCGCAAUAAACAGGACACCCUGUUGAAACAUCCUACCGACUGGUGGCUGUGUAACUUCGUCCCUGAGCGCCAUACUGCAGUAAUAUAUUGAAGGGCCUAAGUAUAUACGUGGCUGGCAGCCGUAUACGCGCGGUAUACGCGUAUGUACGCGCACUACGCGGCGUCUGGCAUGCUCUGUUGCGCCGGGAGACAAGCCCGAAGCCAUGCAAAACGCCACCAGACGACAGUGGCAUGCAGUGCACGCCGCUUGCAUGUGCGCCCCUUAAUAAGGCGGCAGUCGCAUCGGGGGCUGCCUCGGCAGCGACAUAUGCGCUCACGCGCGCCCUGGUGCAUGUCAUAGGAGGUGGAACGCGCAUUCGAAAUUAAUUCACUCCUGACCCUGAAAACACGGGAGUCUUCAGGCGGUCGUUCUGCAUGUCUCCCCACGCACGUGUACUUCCUCUGCCAGGGUAGCGGACUGCAGCGUCGUCAUAUGCCGUGGUAUUAACGCGACAGCGUUAAGGAGCUCGCGUCGCAGAAAAUGCGGCGUCCCGCGUCCGCCGUCCAGUGUUGGACGUCGCUAAGCCUGUGGCAUGUGGUGUGUUUCGCGCCCAAGCUUUGGAGUGGCGCCACCAUCGAAACGACGACAUCGCACCGCCGGCAGCGGUAAUCGAUACGCCAGCUAAGCCUUUAUUAUAUAAAUUUUAUUUGCAACGCAUCAAAGCAGUACGUACAUAAAGACAUUUCUAUCUGAAAUUAUAAACUUUUCGAAGCAAAUUCAGCUUAAACGCUGAAAAUUUUUAUAACGUGACUUCUCUAAUGGUUAACUGCAAGAGAGAGAGAGAGAGCAGGCAUUCUGGACCAAAAGACCAACAGUCGCGACAGAAUUCGCCCUUGUGACAGCUACAUGUUUCUGCUCAAACAGGAGGCACUGGCUCAAAUCAAGUUGCAGUUUAUGAAUAUUGUGAACGAAGUGGGCGUGACAUCUUCAGCCACAAAAGUAGAGGAACUUUAGCAACAUACCAGCGUGCGACGGCUUUAUGUGGUCGGAUGUAUUUCUUCAUUCAGCGGCGUACAGCUUGUGUUCCCCAGAAAUGUGUGGCGAGACUGUGCGUAGUAUCUUUUUGCACAUAAACAACUAUGCAUGUUACGCACCAGUAUAUCUUCUGAAACGCUAUUCACGUGCUUUUUAUUUCAUGUAAACAUCGAUGACGUUAUAAUAAAGCUGUUUA